AUACAGAGGGUGCGAGCGUUAAUCGGAAUUACUGGGCGUAAAGCGCGCGUAGGCGGCUACUUAAGUCAGAUGUGAAAUCCCCGGGCUCAACCUGGGAACUGCAUCUGAUACUGGGUAGCUAGAGUUUUGGAGAGGGAAGUAGAAUUUCAGGUGUAGCGGUGAAAUGCAUAGAGAUCCGAAGGAAUACCAGUGGCGAAGGCGACUUCCUGGCCAAAAACUGACGCUGAGGUGCGAAAGCGUGGGUAGCAAACGGGAUUAGAUACCCUAGUAGUCC
rnacentral:rRNA from 1 species